GACGAACGCUGGCGGCGUGCUUAAUACAUGCAAGUCGAACGCAGUGGGGACGGGUGAGCAACACGUGGGUAACCUCCCAUCAGAGGGGAAAACACUUGGAAACAGGUGCUAAACCGACACUGCAGGAUGGAGUCGGGGUGCAUUAGCUAGUUGGUGAGGAAACUGCUCACCAAGGCCACGAGGCAUAGCCGACCUGAGAGGGUGAUCGGCCACACUGGGACUGAGACACGGCCCAGACUCCUACGGGAGGCAGCAGUAGGGAAUCUUCGGCAAUGGACGAAAGUCUGACCGAGCAACGCCGCGUGAGUGAAGAAGGUUUUCGGAUCGUAAAACUCUGUUGGUAGAGAAGCGGUAUCUAACCAGAAAGCCACGGCUAACUACGUGCCAGCAGCCGCGGUAAUAC
rnacentral:rRNA from 1 species